rnacentral:tRNA from 1 species
UCCCUGGUGGUCCAGUGCCUAAGACUGUGCUCCCAAUUCAAGGAACCCAGGUUCGAUCCCUGGUCAGGGAA